CCUACGGGGGGCUGCAGUGGGGAAUAUUGGACAAUGGGGGCAACCCUGAUCCAGCCAUGCCGCGUGUGUGAAGAAGGCCCUCGGGUUGUAAAGCACUUUCAGUGAGGAAGAACGCCUGGUGGUUAAUACCCAUCAGGAAAGACAUCACUCACAGAAGAAGCACCGGCUAACUCCGUGCCAGCAGCCGCGGUAAUACGGAGGGUGCGAGCGUUAAUCGGAAUUACUGGGCGUAAAGCGCGUGUAGGUGGCUUGAUAAGCCGGUUGUGAAAGCCCCGGGCUCAACCUGGGAACGGCAUCCGGAACUGUCAAGCUAGAGUGCAGGAGAGGAAGGUAGAAUUCCCGGUGUAGCGGUGAAAUGCGUAGAGAUCGGGAGGAAUACCAGUGGCGAAGGCGGCCUUCUGGACUGACACUGACACUGAGGUGCGAAAGCGUGGGUAGCAAACAGGAUUAGAUACCCUAGUAGUC
rnacentral:rRNA from 1 species